rnacentral:rRNA from 1 species
UACGUAGGGGGCAAGCGUUGUCCGGAAUCAUUGGGCGUAAAGCGCGUGUAGGCGGCCCGGUAAGUCCGCUGUGAAAGUCCAGGGCUCAACCCUGGGAUGCCGGUGGAUACUGUCGGGCUCGAGUCCGGAAGAGGCGAGUGGAAUUCCUGGUGUAGCGGUGAAAUGCGCAGAUAUCAGGAGGAACACCAAUGGCGAAGGCAGCUCGCUGGGACGGUACUGACGCUGAGACGCGAAAGCGUGGGGAGCAAACAGG